rnacentral:rRNA from 1 species
CCGGCGCACGGGUGAGUAACACGUAUGCAACCUGGCCGUCACAGGUGGAUAACCGGAAGAAAUUCCGACUAAUACAGCAUAACACUCCUGAGGGACAUCCUUCGGGAGUCAAAGGAGGCAACUCCGGUGACGGAUGGGCAUGCGGCGCAUUAGGUAGUUGGUGGGGCAACGGCCCACCAAGCCGACGAUGCGUAGGGGUUCUGAGAGGAAGGUCCCCCGCAUUGGAACUGAGACACGGUCCAAACUCCUACGGAAGGCAGCAG